GACAAAUCCUGUAGGAUUUUACUUGCGGAAUUUCAGAAAUAAAGCAAGGGGCAUUAAAAGUCUUUUUUGGUUUGUCUCAACUAUACAGAAACUGUUCCGGGCGUGGGGGAUGGGUGAACUAGGUAACAGGGAUUAAGAGUACACUUCAGAUGAGUUCGGAAGGGCACACCUGAACUCUAGUCAC